rnacentral:lncRNA from 1 species
UAUAGAGUAUCUUUAAAUUAUAGAGUAAUAUUUUUUCUAUAUUACAAUAAUAUUACUCUUCAUUUUUUAAAGGAUUCUUUGGUAGAUAGAGAAAUCACAAAAAAGGGUACGUUGCUGUCAUUUUGAAAGGAUUAAGAAGCAUCGAAGUAAUGUCUAAACCCAAUGAUUUAAAACAAAGAUAAAGGAUCCCAAAACAAGGAAACACCAUUGUCAUGAUAGUCUCAAUAACUAGAUUAGAUUGAAGAAUCAAAAUAGAAGUUUAAACGAGACAAACAAAAGGGGGUAAAGACCACUCAAUAAAUGAAAUUUAUUAAAGAUUUUUUCCUUUAAGCUAUUUGAGAGAUAUCCAAUUUGAGUUAUGAAUACGAAUGGUUUUUUUUUUUUUUUUUCAUUGUCAGGUAGGAAGAAGGAAAAAAGGACUUAAAUCAUAGUCUAAUUGAUUUUAUAGGCUUAUUUGUCAUUUAUUAGAAUUUCAUACAUAGACAAAAUUUCGAAUCAAAUCAUUUUUUCUCGAGCAGUACGAGGACAAAACUUUCUAUACAUUUCUACAUCUAUCUCAAUGAGCCAUCUUUCAAAUCGUUGCAAUUGAUGUUCAAUCCCGAAGAGAAGGAAAAGAUCUUCGAAAAGUGGGUUUUUAUGAUCCAUUGAAGUAUCAAACUUAUUUAAAUAUUCCUACUAUUCUAUAUUUCCUUGAAAAGAGUGCUCAACCUAUAGGAACUAUUCAAGAUAUUUAAAGAUUGCAGAAGUUUUUAAGCAACUUCGACCUAAUAAAAAAAAUUUAAUUAAAGAAAUACCAAGGGGGUAGUGAUUUGUAUAUAACUUUUCUCUACUAUUUUUUUUAUUCCCCCCUAAUCCUGCUUUAUUUGUAUCUAUUUCUUAUUGCUUCUGUCGAAUUCCAUGUCUGAUAACAACAAAACCUUUUUUUGUUGAUCAUAUCAAUCUCAAAUUCGGACAUUUCAUUUCUUUCAAUUAUAUGGUUUUCGUUGGAAUUUGACUAACCAACAAGGAAUCCAGUUUGUUUAUUCCACUUAGAUUGACGAAAUACAUUGAAAAUUCGAUAUAUUUUUUUCCAAUUCUUAUUCUCCCAUCUACACUUUUUUGUAUCUAUGUAGAUUAGAUAUCUAGAGUAAAUCCUGGACAAUUUGAAAUAUUAUUUCAUUGUUAAAUUGAAUUUUUUGAGUUUAAAUAAAAAAAUAUAUAUAUUUCAAUGAAUUUUCUUUUGUUUUUUUUCCAUUGUAUUCCUUUCUCAACACUUACAUUGACAACAGUGUAUCGAACAAAUAUAAUUCAAUGAAAUGGAUCUAUUUAUUUCCUUACCAUAGAUGAUUUUUUUUACUUUACCUCAUUCCUUUCUUUGAUAUUGAUACAAGAGGUUUUUAAAUUUUAAAAAAAAAAAAUCAGAUAACAUAAGAGGUAGUCUAUCAAUUUUGACAAUUCUCCCUCUCUCUCUCUCUAUAUAUAUAUAUAUUUUUUUUUAUCAAAUAAUCUCUUGUAUUUUGAUUUGAUAUAUUCAUUUUUAUGUUUCUAAUGCAUUAGAAUUUUUUUCUAAAGACUUCUUAGCUCAAUUGUUUGAUUACCUCAUCUAAUUUCUUUUCUCAUUAUUUAAUUGAUAAUUGAUUUAGAUUGUAUCUUCACACCCUUUAGUUUGAAUAUUUAAAUUAUGUUUAAAUUUUUUAUAUUUUCUUCGGGUUGCUAACUCAACGGCAGAGUACUCGGCUUUUAAGUGCGACUAGAUUCUUUUUACACAUUUGGAUGAAGUAAGGAAUUCGUCCAUACCAUCGGUAAAGUUUGGAACACCACGACUGAUCGUGGAAGGGAAUGAAUGGAAAAAAUAGCAUGUCGUAUCAACGAAGAGUUCUGAGUUUGUUUCAUUUUUAUCAAAUCAACAAAACCCUAUUCGAAUUCUUGGAACGGAACAAAAAGAAGUUGGAUCGAAUGAGUAAAUGGAUAGGUCCUUAUUGCUUCAAUUAAUUAUACGAAAGUAAAAGCAACCAACUUUUAUUCUUAAAUUUGAAUAAUUUCCCGAUCUAAUUUGACAUUAAAAAUAGAUGAGUGCUUGAUACGGCAAGGACUUCUCCCCCCAUGAGUGGAUUCUAUUUUUUUUUUUUUUUUAAUGAAUCCUAACUAUUGGCAUUCUCCAUUAUGGAAUGGAGAUGCGUAUGUAAAAAAAGUAGUAUAUUGAUAAAGAAUUUUUUUUUUUCGAAAUCAAAAGAGCAAUUAGGUUCAAAAAAUAAAAUAUUUCUAACCAUCUUGUUAUCCUAUAACAUAGACCAAUUAAAUGAAAUGAAAAAAAGAGAGUGGGUUGCCCGGGAUUCGAACCUGGAACUAGUCCGAUGGAGUAGUUAAUUUCCUUGUUAU